UACGAAGGGGGCUAGCGUUGCUCGGAAUCACUGGGCGUAAAGGGUGCGUAGGCGGGUCUUUAAGUCAGGGGUGAAAUCCUGGAGCUCAACUCCAGAACUGCCUUUGAUACUGAGGAUCUUGAGUACGGGGGAGGUGAGUGGAACUGCGAGUGUAGAGGUGAAAUUCGUAGAUAUUCGCAAGAACACCAGUGGCGAAGGCGGCUCACUGGCCCGUAACUGACGCUGAGGCACGAAAGCGUGGGGAGCAAACAGGG
rnacentral:rRNA from 1 species